UUGGUUUGGCUCUGCUCUCAUACAUUGGCUAAGUGGAGUCAUUUUUAAUUUCCCUGUGUACAAAAAUUGUGACUAUGUCACACUUUUCAGUCUCAAAGAACAGUGAAGUUACAUAUCCUCUGAACAAGGAAAGCUUGUGAUAGGUUCACCUUUGGGUUACCAUAAGUCAGAAAUGACUUUAAGGAACACAACAGCAGCAUAAUACUAUCUGCCUGUAUUGUGCACCAAUUUUCAGUCUUUAAGCCAGGUGUUUUGGACUGGAGCUCCAGAAGCCCUAGCCAGCUUGACCAGUGGUAGAUGAAGUCAUCUGUUAUGGGUGCUUUGAAUGCGAUUUACCUGCUUCUUGGCAAGGGAUUGGACUGGAUGGCCCAUGAGGUCUCUUCCAACUCUAUGAUUUUAUGAUUCUAUGAGUCCAAGUCCGAAAGUUUGAGAGUUACUCCAUUAGAGCACAAGAGAUUAAGUCCUUGCACUGAAAUAGACCCAAUCUAAAAUACAAUACAGGAAAGAUGAGAGAAAAUGUAGAUUGGCCAACAAAGCAGGAAAUCUCCAGUUCAAACUGAUAGCUCCUUAAGCUGUUCUUCAUAACAUUUGGUUUCCAGACCUUUGAUAAUCUUGGUCAUCCUCCUUGGGAAACUUUUUGACUUCUCAAUAUUUUUCUUGAGCUAUAGUGGCCAGAACUGGACCCAAUAUCCUAGGUGAAAUCUGACCAAAAUGGAAAAGAGUGGAACUGACCUAUAAAUUCAUGUACAAUAUAGGUCCAGGCUAAUAGAAGAACAGUAGCUCCCUUUACGAGGCCAUUAAAGAUCUAUGAUCAUGUGGAGAGUCCAUUCUUUCCCACUACACUCCCAGUUUCAUUUGAUGGAAACAAGAGAAAACCUACAACAACCAAAACAAAGGGGCUUCUAAGAUUCCUUCUAUACUGCCAGAUAAUCCAGUUCAAAGCAGAUAUGGAAUUUAUAUGGCAGUGUAGAAGGGGCCUCAGGCCCUUCCACACUCAUAUAACCCAGAAUAUCAAGGCAGGCAAACCACAAUAUCUGCUUCAAACUGGAAUAUAUGAGUCCAAACUGCCAUAUAAUCCAGUUCAAUGUGGAUUUUAUAUAGUUGUGUGGAAUGGACCUCAGUGGAAGCUCCCAGAAUUUGGAAAUAUCUCCCAAGGAGGCUUGCAAUCCUUGCUCUUUUUUAGUCAGCAAGUUAAAAAUUAUGAAAUUCAUAUUUUUACCAAACUUUACUAUUGUCCUAGGCUUUGUCUACACUGCCACUUAAUGCAGCUUAAAACUGCAUUAUCUGAAAAUAUAGAUGGGACUUGGUAUCACUCACACAACUCACUCCAUUAACCCCAAAGUGAAAUUCAAAAGGAGCUCUUUCUCUUUCUCUCUCCCAUUUUCUGUAACAGGAAAUGCUGAUCCUGAGCCUGAUACAAUGGAUUGCAUGAUGAAUCGGGGAUUCUGCAUAUCCGGAGCAUGCCCUGGAAUUACACGGCCAACAGGAAGGACAUGUCAAUGGGGAACCCUUGUGUGCUGCAAAAUACCUUUUUAGAGCCUGAGAUUCUGGGGGAAUUUCUGCCUACUUCGUGACCUUGUAUUAUAGACAAGAAUGAAGAACUCUCUAUUCUUGAAGAUUUAAAAUAUAGCGGAAAAUUAAAGAAACACCACUCCUUGCCAUUCUUGCCUCCUAUCUCCCCCUCCUGCUUUUUACACGCACACACUUUGGCCCCUGGGAGAAGCCUCCUAACAUCUUGCAAUCUAUUUAAUACAUUACUCCUAACCGAGUUGCAGUUUUAUACAUAGACUCUUGGAACCCAAACAAGCAUUUGAGAAUGAUUAACGGAAUCAUGGCACUGAGCUGUAAACCGAAAACUACAAAUUAUGCUCAAGUAAAAGGAAGGAG